AUGUUUUCUCCAAUACCAGUACAGUGCCCAUCCCCAAAUAUCUGGGAAUUCCUAGGGGUGUUUAAUUUCCCUUGUCAUUUCUGGCUUAAUGCUCCUGUACCGAUUAGUUUAACAGACAUCUUGCUGUCCCUACUCUGUAGGACAUUAACCCAAGCAUGGAACUCACGCUCUCAGCUCCCACGGGACAAGUUUCCAUGGGCACAGCACUCACACAAUGCAUCGGUGUAUGCAGAAGAAUUCACUGAGAAUUUGGGACACCGAAGGUGGAGUUUACAUCACAGAAAUAAAAAUCAUGAAACUAAACACUGCAUCUCCUACAUCUUGGAUGAUUUGCAGGCCUUAGUCCUACCCUUUCCUUUGCCAACAAAGGAGGAAGCAAAGGAUCCAGAAAGAUUUCAGCAUGUGGGGAGUCAGAAUCAGGAAACAACCAAGCAGUGACUGAGGCCACCGUGAGCUCUGCCUUGUGCUUGGCCCUGCAGAAGCUUCUAAGCGAUUCCUGGCAAAACCAAGAAGUCUACGGCUGGGCGUUCACUGAGCUCCAGUCUCAGGGUGGGGUGGGGCAGGGUGGGGACCGAGGAGAACUGGAAAGCCCUAGCUCUGGCUAAAAAGGCAGCAGGUGCUCCGCCCCAGCCAACUGCUGCCAUGUGGGAAUGCAGGCUUAGUCUUGUCCAUCUGCAGAUUUGUCCAAAAAAGAUAGAAAUCAAGGGGUUUUCAUCUCUCCCUUGAAAAAGUUGUCAACUGAUCUGAAUUUCUAAAAAACAUUGUAUGGGCCAAGAAUCGUGCAGGCCAAAUUAAAUAAGAGUACAGGCCUGAUUUGGCCUGUCAGUUUGUGCUCUGUGCUUUACAUUACAAAUUCCCUUAGAAUCUAAAAAUGCUUGCCACUCAAAAUGACUUCAUGACGUUUAUGAUGGCCUAUGGCUAUUUCAUGGAGAAAAAAAUUUGAGCAAGGGGCUGGUGUUGCGGUGCAGUGGGUUAGGCUGCCUCUUGCCACGCCUGCAUCCCAUUUUGGAGUGCUGAUUCAGGUCCCAGCUGCUCCUGGUGGCUCCACAUCCACCCAGCUCCCUGCUAGAGUACUUGGGAGAGCAGCAAGUGAUGGCAAGUGCUUGAGCCCCUGCCACCCAUGUGGGAGACCAAGAUGGUGUUCCUGGCUCUGGGCUUUGGCCUGGCAGACUAGUCAAUUUCUCUCUUCUCCCACCCCUCAACCAUUGUGCCUUUCAAAUAAGUCAAUAAAUCUUGAAAACUGGCAGCUGUUCCA
rnacentral:lncRNA from 1 species